rnacentral:misc_RNA from 1 species
UGGCUCUGGCAUCGAUGAAGAACGCAGCGAAAUGCGAUAAGUAAUGUGAAUUGCAGAAUUCAGUGAAUCAUCGAAUCUUUGAACGCACAUUGCGCCCCUUGGUAUUCUGAGGGGCAUGCCUGUUCGAGCGUCAGUUCACCGAUCAAGCUUGGCUUGGUGUUGGGGCCUGCUGUAACGGCAGCCCUUAAAAUCAGUGGCAGUGCUGUCAGGCUCUAAGCGUAGUAACAUUUUUCGCUAUAGAGUCCUGACGGUCGCUCGCCAGAACCCCAACUUUUAUAUGGUUGACCUCGGAUCAGGUAGGGAUACCCGCUGA